GAUGAACGCUGGCGGCGUGCCUAAUACAUGCAAGUCGAGCGAACAGACGAGGCGCUUGCUCCUCUGAUGUUAGCGGCGGACGGGUGAGUAACACGUGGAUAACCUACCUAUCAGUCUGGGAUAACUUCGGGAAACCGGCGCUAAUACCGGAUAACAUGUUGAACCGCAUGGUUCAACAGUGAAAGACGGUUUUGCUGUCACUUAUAGAUGGAUCCGCGCCGCAUUAGCUAGUUGGUAAGGUAACGGCUUACCAAGGCAACCAUGCGUAGCCGACCUGAGAGGGUGAUCGGCCACACUGGAACUGAGACACGGUCCAGACUCCUACGGGAGGCAGCAGUAGGGAAUCUUCCGCAAUGGGCGAAAGCCUGACGGAGCAACGCCGCGUGAGUGAAGAAGGUCUUCGGAUCGUAAAACUCUGUUAUUAGGGAAGAACAAAUGUGUAAGUAACUAUGCACGUCUUGACGGUACCUAAUCAGAAAGCCACGGCUAACUACGUG
rnacentral:rRNA from 1 species